rnacentral:rRNA from 1 species
AAAUGAAUUGACGGGACCCCGCACAAGCAGCGGAGCAUGUUCUUUAAUUCGAAGCAACGCGAAGAACCUUACCAGGUCUUGACAUCCGGCUAAAUCAUAUGAAAGUAUGUUACCCUUCGGGGGAGCCGAGACAGGUGGUGCAUGGUUGUCGUCAGCUCGUGUCGUGAGAUGUUGGGUUAAGUCCCGCAACGAGCGCAACCCCUAUUAUCAGUUACUAACGGGUAGUGCCGAGGACUCUGAUGAGACUGCCGUGGACAACACGGAGGAAGGCGGGGAUGAGGUCAAAUCAUCAUGCCCCUUAUGACCUGGGCUAGAAACGUGCUACAAUGGCCGUGACAAAGAGCAGCUACCCCGCAAGGGCAAGCAAAUCUCAUAAAAGCGGUCUCAGUUCGGAUCGUGGGCUGCAACCCGCCCACGUAAAGAUGGAGUUGCUAGUAAUCGCGAAUCAGCAUGUCGCGGUGAAUGCGUUCCCGGGGUUUGUACACACCGCCCGU